GGCUCGUUGUCCUAGGGUAUGAUUCUCGCUUAGGGUGCGAAGAGUCCCGGGUUCAAAUCCCGGACGAGCCC
rnacentral:tRNA from 1 species